AAGGGCUGAGUCAAGGCAAAGGGCAGGAAGGAAGGAAGGAAGGAAGGAAGGAAGGAAGGAAGAGUGCUCGGGGUGCCCGAGGUCUUUCCCCUCCUUUCCUGCAUGCAAGGACGCCACCCCGAAUCCUAAAUGGCCCCCAUACAGGGAUCCAUGUACCCAAACCACCCAUGUGACCCUACAUCCAGUGGGUGGGGACACCGAUGGGCCAGGAAUGGGGUACAGGGCUCAACCACUCUGCCUCUCAGUGAGCUGCAUUCCCGGAGGGACUUUCACACUGGUUUCAAAGUGGAGCUGCGAGGCAUGGCCAUGGGACACCGUCACACACCUCCCCACUCGGGAAGCCCAGGGAUCCUUUCCAGGACCCCAAACCCCGUCGGAGCCAGCAGCUCCGGAGCAGCCCCAGAGCUCCGCCAGCUCCGCUUCUCCCCUGCCAGACCCCGUGAGACUGUCCAGUUUCCGGUUUGGAAGCUAAAAAGAGUAAGCCCGCAGUUCCAGGAUGCCGGUGCGGGCAGGCGGGCUCUGCCUGCCCCGGCGGGAUUACCGAGUGGCUCAUCCCGUUCCUGAAGCACGCUAAUUAAUUAAUGCCGGCGGCUUCUACCAAACCCUGAGCCCCCAGGGGCGCUCCCCGAGGGAUGCGGCGGGGACAGCAGCGGGACAGGGAGCGGGACAGCGGCAACAGGUGUUCCUGAACCCGGCGAUGCUGCGGGGAAGCACAGGGAAGCAUCUGCCGUGGCCAGCCCACCCGCUCCCAUGCAAACCCUGCAGCAGUGAUAAUGACGAGACCGACAGACUUACUGCAGAACCCCGUGCUGGAGCUGCCCAAGAGGAAGGAUGGGUCAGGGCUCCUGAGGCUCUGUGGGGAUGGACACCAUGGUGCCACGUGCCCCCCAGCCCCCUGACCAUGUAGGGGCUCUCUAGUACCCUACUCUUGCAGACUAGAGCAAAACACAGCUGGAUGCAGCAUCCUGGUAUCCAGAAUUUGGAUCCCAGGAGAAGCGUUACCCAACCAAGGGGUUACAUGGGACAGGGCAGCUCUCUCUUUCUUGCUGAAGAAAAUCCCAAUAAAUAAAACAUGAACUUCAGAACUGCUUGAGCCAACCCAUGAACAAAUAAUUUUAAUGUUUUUUUUUUCAGCAGACCGUAGUUUUCUCGGAGCUCCACAGUCUCCUCUCUUCGAAGUUGAACAGAUACAGUAAACACAACAAAUAUAUGAUACAACCCAUCACAGCUGGAUUAAAAAAAAUACACAAAAAAUAUAAUACAUAAAAAAAUGGAUUUUUAACAUUGUGGACUGACGCAGCUCUAAAAAUGGUGAUUGUAACCCUGGUAAGCUUUACAAAGUCUUUAAAAAAAUAAAACAGUACUUCAUGUGAAAUUCAUAAAUACACUGGAGGAGAACGGAGGGGCUGGGGGAGUUGAGAAAGUGUCUCUGGGAUCAUGACCAAAACCCUAAACCCCAGCCAGGGCUGCUGAGGGCACCAGUCUGUGUGCGUGGGGUGCAGUGUGAGCCCUGGGCUCGGUGCAGGCAGGAGGGAGAGAGGGAUGGAGAGGUGGAGGCACAAACUGGUCCAGUUAAUGAAGAGCUUCGGCCCCUAUCAGGACUGGGAGUGGGGCACACCUGUGUUUUAUGGUGAGGGAGCUUUGAGUUUUCAUUCCCAAAGUUUUAGAUCAGUGAGUGAAACAGAGAAAAAAAAAAAAACAAACCCAAA